AAUGACAACUCUCAACAACGGAUAUCUUGGCUCCCGCAACGAUGAAGAACGCAGCGAAAUGCGAUACUUAAUGUGAAUUGCAGAAUUCCGUGAAUCAUCGAGUCUUUGAACGCAUAUUGCGCCCGAGGCCCCGGCCAAGGGCACGCCUGCCUCAGCGUCGGUUGAC
rnacentral:rRNA from 1 species